rnacentral:rRNA from 1 species
GGACUACACGGGUAUCUAAUCCUGUUUGCUCCCCUUGCUCUCGCGCCUCAGCGUCAGGUCAUAGCUAGAAAACCGCUUUCGCCACAGGUGUUCUUCCACAUAUCUACGCAUUUCACCGCUACACGUGGAAUUCCGUUUUCUCCGCCAUCCCUCUAGACUUAUAGUUUCAAAUGCAGCUCCAAAAUUGAGUCUUGGAAUUUCACAUCUGACUUAUAUAUCCGCCUACGCGCCCUUUACGCCCAAUAAUUCCGAUUAAUGCUUGCACCCUCCGUAUUACCGCGGCUGCUGGCAC